ACCGAAUUUCAAAGGGUCAGAUAAACCAUCAGGCAGGUCAAUUUCCGGAAGCAUCGCCUAAACGACGAGGCUCUCUAGGCGUCGGCGAUCCGUAGGCAUUCAAACUUCCACAAAUUCAAUUAAUUACGCCAAGAGAGGACAAUGCUCGAGCAAUUCCUCGAGGCGAGAGCAGCAUUGCCAAUUAGCCGCAUGCAUUCACAAC
rnacentral:lncRNA from 1 species